UACAGAGGGUGCAAGCGUUAUCCGGAUUCACUGGGUUUAAAGGGUGCGUAGGUGGAUUGGUAAGUCAGUGGUGAAAUCUCCGGGCUUAACCCGGAAACUGCCAUUGAUACUAUCAGUCUUGAAUACCGUGGAGGUCAGUAGAAUAUGUCAUGUAGCGGUGAAAUGCUUAGAUAUGACAUAGAAUACCAAUUGCGAAGGCAGCUGGCUACACGAAUAUUGACACUCAGGCACGAAAGCGUGGGGAUCAAACAGG
rnacentral:rRNA from 1 species